GCCGGGCAUGGUGGCGUGUGUCUGUAAUCCCAGCUACUCAGGAGGCUGAGGCAGGAGAAUUGCUUGAGCCCGGGAGGCGGAGGUUGCAGUGAGCCGAGAUCGCGCCACUGCACUCCAGCCUGGGCGACAGAGCGAGACUCCGUCUCAA
rnacentral:SRP_RNA from 1 species